AUGGUAACUUGGAUUUUGCUUGGGCAGGUGCCUUUCUCUCUUGAGGACCCGGAUUGCAAGGGUCUUGAGCUAUAUCUGAUAGGGCUGUGCGAGAAGCAUGGGAAGCCAUCAGAGAGGCUUGUUGCAUUUGAAGGAACAAUGACUGGGAGAAGGUUCUUAGCAUGUGUAGAGCCGGAAGGUCAGAAUUGUGGGUUUGUUCAGUGGGUUGAUGAGUAGUGGCCCCCAACAAUGGAGAAUGCAUUGUUGAAACUUUGGUCAAUGGUUGAAGAGAGCAAGUCUACUAGGGUGAAUGAUAAUCUUGAAGCUUUAACUAUUCACCAUUUGACAGAUGAAAAGAACAAGCUGGAUGCAGACUAUGACAAGUUAGUGAAAGAUGUACAUCAACUUGUGGACUUUCAGGAGGAGAGGGUUGUGGAUUUCAGUUAUCUGCAGUCCAACAUCACAUAUCAGCACCAAUGCGGAGCUGAAUUGGUGGCUGGUAUGAAGGCAGAAAUGGCAAAGAAAGAUGCAAUUACAGAGAAGCUUCAACAGAAGUAUGAACUCUUGUGCAACCUGACAAGUGCUCAAGCAACUGUCAUCCAGAACCUGAAGUUGACGAAUAUGAAAGAGAAGGAAUUGCUUAGUGAGGCUAGGAUGAAUUUGGAGUUGAAGAAUGCAGAGUUCACAAAGUUUGAGGAGAAGCUCACCCAAGAGAAGCUAGAGUUGAAGUUUCAGGUUGCUGGAUUUGCUGAAGCUCAAGGAAAACCAUAA
rnacentral:rRNA from 1 species